rnacentral:lncRNA from 1 species
CACCCUCUCUGGGGCCGACCAGCUCGGGCCGCUGGCACAGUCACGCGCGUCCACACAUCACCCCCGCACCCACUCGCCGGGCAGGGUCCUCGCCUCUUCGCCCCGCGCCGCGCCGCGCAGCCAAGCAUCGUCUGCCCUGUGGGGGCGCAGUUGGAUCUGCCUCCUGGGGAAGUAACAGCCGGGAUGCCCUUCCAGGUGACCUUCGUUUGGAGAUUGGGUGUGCUCCAGCUCCUGGACUUUUUUAAAUUCCUGGAAUUGUGUCUCUCUAUCAUGGGGCUGGUACUAUUACCAUACGUUUCAGAAAACAGCAUCUGUUUACAAAGCGUUUUAUUAUACAAUACAGAAAUACAUUUCACCCCAAAUGAUAACAGUGAACUUCAGCCCCCAGAAUCUCCUUCUCCCCUUCGUGAAACAGAGCUGGGAUGACGGCAGAGGACUCCAGAACGCACUGAGAUUGUUCCUUGGCAUGACAAAUGGCAAAGGACUCUAGAACGCAGAGAUUGUUCCUUGGUGUGACGGGCCAGACAGCACACCUUUCUUCAAGCCAUUCUCACAUCAAAUAAAACGUUGAUAAAUCAUUGUUUCUCUAAGCUUGAAAAAUGCUAAUAACUCAAGACAAGAUGAAAGUGAGUUUGUUGAAAUCAACGUGAAGGAUCGAGGGUACCAACUUGGAAUGUAAAACCAUAGAAAAUACCAUCUGGGAACACGGAAAUCAUCUGUGUUAUCUGGAAGCCUGUCUCCAGAGUGGCAAACUUAGGGACUGGUUUGAGGACAGAGUGUGCCCUGUGUGCUGGGGAGGGAUGUGAAGGACUGGGAUGGAGGAGGGGGGGUUCGAGAUGUUCUUUUACCCAUAAAUACACUGUACAUCACCGUCUGCCACUGAAGCUUAAGGAUUGAAAACCUUGGGGAUGUUUCACUGGUUUUGCUUCCACCUCCGCAAUGUUUGAACUUGCAUUUUGUGAGCCGCGUAUGCAACUAAAAGCCUUACAUGCAUUACCCACCCUUCACCUCUCUUACUAGUCCUAUUUACAGGUGAGAAAACUGAGGCACAAGGAGUUUUGCUGAUUCGGGAUUGUUACGGGUUUUAGGUUUUGUUUUCCUCCUGCCAGCUCCUGGACUUUUUAAAAUUCCUGUAAUUGUGUCUCCCAAUCAUGGGCCAGGAAUAUGAGAAUCAGCUGUGAACUUCGAGCCUGUCCAUCUCAAAACUCUUCAUCUCCAAGACAUUUCAAUAGAGCUUUGCCAGUAAACAAAAAUAAAUACGGUUCGGUUUACCCAGAAGCCAAAUCCCUUGUAAGAAGUUCUGGGCCAGUUUCUUCCCAGAGCGGGAGAAUAUACAGUUGUAGUUUGAGUUGAUUUUAUUUCUUUGAGGCUUUGUUUUUCUAGUCUUCCAGGCCUUAACCUCACUCCCUCAGGAACAGCUGAAAUAUGAGAAGAGAUCAUAUGGCCCCCAAAAAGUCCCCAGAUUAACCAAGAUUGAUGCCACCCAGGGCCCAGUUGGGGGUCAACACCCUGUGUCAGGUGCGCUCUCUGUAUAAUUCCUGUUUCCUGUGAGAAGAGCAUUAAAGGCCCGUGAAUGUUUUAAAAUGAAAUGCAACCUCUUAAUAAUCAGGUUUCUCCACUCUGCUAGGAUUCCAAAAAAAAAAUCAGCAACUGACAAAUGUUAAAAAUUUCCUCGCUGCUAAUCAUGCUUCCCCCUGAUUCCCUUUCUUUCCCUCCUCUCUCUCUUCUAACAUGAAUUUAUUUUCUAUUUGAAAGCCAAUCUCACUGGUUAUUAGAUAUUCUCCCUGCUGUCACUAUCAGUAAAUUAUUAAACAGCUGACCAAGCUUUGUUUUAAAAUGAUUCUCUUAUGAAGCUCAGUGAUAUAUUUGCUAUGAAUACUGAAUGGUGCCGUGGUCUCUAAGGACACGUGAAUGAUUCCUAUUUACUACCUUUAGCAAAAUGUGUGUGCAAUUAGCGGCAAGAACUUGACUUGAAUCACAGUUACUAGGGAUGCCUGUAGCUCAUUUACAUGGAGCUCCCUUUACUCAUUACACUCCUGCCCGGGAGAAGCGUGUUAAGAUUCUAGGCCAGGUCACGAAAUAGCAUAUAGACUUGUCUUUUGUCAUUCCUCACCUCCUUUCUUGUCUUGCCACUGCUGAGCCUUGACAUACCUGUGGGAAUCCUUUGUUUCAUGGAGCAGCGGGUUCUAAGUGAAUUUUUGCUUAAAGAAAAUAAACGUGAUUGAGAGAAAAUUA